UCGGCCCUGGGGUUUUCCGAGGGCCGCUCAAGAAAACCAGGAAGUACCUCCUCCCGCAGAGACGGCUCACUCCCAGCCCACAGCCCACAGCCCACAGCCCACAGCCCACCGCCCGGGGCUCCCGGCCGGCCGGGCGGACGGACCCACUCGGAAGGCUCGGCUCGCAGCCGGGAAGUCGCCAGCAGCCCCGGGGUCUUCUCGGGGCGGCCUCGGUGGCCCACGGCCCCGGAACCCCGGGGCGGGGAGGGGGGUCGCCACGGACCCGCUCAGUACCUGUUGAAACCCAGGGACGAAAGGUCCUCUCCGCAGAGAGUAUCUGGGAAGAGGGCCCAAGGCGGGCACGCAGCCCGCAGCACAACAGGGCCUCGGAGGAUCCCCGCAACCCCGGGCCCGCAGGGGUCGAAGGGCCGCAGCUUCCAGCAACCUCCGCCCCGGGCGCAGACCCGCCCCCAGCGUCACGUGAGAGAAAAGAAAUACCGCCAGAUGCUGUUGUUUAAGAACAAUAACCAGACCUCCUUGCUCUUCAACCCCCGCUCCACCAGAACACAGGGAACGGCUUUAGUAACUUUGCAUCGAAUUGAAACAAUUCCUAAGUGACCAUCCCUUUAAUUACAAUGAAUGACUCUGAAGUCCAAAGCCAGUGGAGUGUGUGCUUUGUGGAUGAAAAUGAUCGGAUGAUAUAAUGGGGACAAAGAACACAGGACUAAAAGGUAGAACACCUGCUUUAUAGUCCCACAUUUUCUACUGAGCAGCUGUACAAUCCAGGGCAAGUUGCUGCACUCCUCCAUCCUGAGGGGUCAGACCAGAUGUUCUGUGAGACCCUUUCCAGCUCACGUGCUAUGAUCUGUGUUGACCCGACCACCCUGUCUCCUAGCCAACGAUCAAGGACACAUGCAUCUCUCUGGAUCUUCUUUUCCUUAAUAUGUGAAAUACAGACUCCGGUAAUAGUAAUUAAUUUAUAGAGUUGUAAGGACUAAAUGCAACAAUUCAGAAAACUGUUGGCCCAGAGCCUGGCCCAUAGAAAGUGAUAAUAAAUGGUAGCUAUUAUUACGUCA
rnacentral:lncRNA from 12 species